rnacentral:rRNA from 1 species
GUAAUACGAAGGGACCUAGCGUAGUUCGGAAUUACUGGGCUUAAAGAGCACGUAGGUGGUUGAGAAAGUUGGUGGUGAAAUCCCAAGGCUUAACCUUGGAACUGCCGCCAAAACUUUUUAACUAGAGUAUGAUUAAGGUAAGCGGAAUUUCUAGUGUAGAGGUGAAAUUCGUAGGUAUUAGAAAGAACACCAAUUGCGAAGGCAGCUUUCUGGAUCAUUACUGACACUGAGGUGCGAAAGCAUGGGUAGCGAAGAGGAUUAGAUACCCUCGUAGUCCAUGCCGUAAACGAUGUGUGCUAGACGUUGGGAAUUUAUUUUUCAGUGUCGCAGCAAAAGCGUUAAGCACACCGCCUGGGGAGUACGACCGCAAGGUUAAAACUCAAAUGAAUUGACGGGGACCCGCACAAGUAGUGGAGCAUGUGGUUUAAUUCGAAGAUACGCGCAGAACCUUACCAACACUUGACAUGUUCGUCGCGACUCUAAGAGAUUAGAGUUUUCGGUUCGGCCGGACGAAACACAGGUGCUGCAUGGCUGUCGUCAGCUCGUGUCGUGAGAUGUUGGGUUAAGUCCCGCAACGAGCGCAACCCUUACUUUUAGUUGCUACCAUUUAGUUGGGCACUCUAAAAGAACUGCCAGUGAUAAGCUGGAGGAAGGUGGGGAUGACGUCAAGUCCUCAUGGCCCUUAUGUGUUGGGCUACACACGUGCUACAAUGGUAUUUACAGUGGGAUGCAAAGAGGCAACUCCAAGCCAACCCUUAAAAAAUACCUCAGUUCGGAUUGUACUCUGCAACUCGAGUACAUGAAGCUGGAAUUACUAGUAAUCGCGGAUCAGCGCGCCGCGGUGAAUACGUUCCCGGG